UCUCAUUACAGAUAAGAACAAAGAUAGAAUUGUAAGAAGGGUUGCUUAUAAGAGCAUAAAGUACAUCUGAAACUGCUGAGGCUGGGAAGGUUUUUGACUAUAUUUCCGACCAGCUGCUAUAGAAGACAAACUGAAAUCUGAGUGCAGAGACAAGCAAAGGAAUACUGCAAGGCACUUGUGCAAAAUAUUGUAUGCCAGGACGACUAGGCUGUGCCCAGGUCUCCGAAACCUGCGACGACGCUCAGCUCCAUUGGCCCUCCAUCUACAUCUUGGCUCCUCCCUCCCUCGACUCCACCGUGUAUUGUCAGCACUGGGAUGCUCUGGGUCUGUGCCAUGUGCCAAACUCCAUCUAAGCCGCCAGGGCAUCAUCGUCAUCCUCCCAUCACCAUCCCUUCACCACAUCCUGCCAUCAUCCCACACCUUUGCCUCUCACCAUUCCUACACCAUCUCCUCGUCCACCUCCAAAACCCCCUCCAUCCCUCCCUAUUCUGUUGCUUGAACUUUAUCUUCUUCAGUCU